UGGGAGGCCCACAAAGAGAAGUCCGGGUGCUGCCUGGGUUUAUUUUUUGAGUGAUUUGCUUUUCAUUUUUUAUUCCAGGUUCCUGCUGAUAUGAUGUCCUCUCAUCAUUUUGGUCUAUGCUGCUGAAGGUGUGUGUGUUAUUUUUGGAUGUGGCAUGAAACAGAGCAUCUGAGCACUCAUAGUUAUCUAUAAACACUCUGGCAUCUGUUUAGAAUAAACUCCAGGGCCGCGUUCAAGGGAGAGUGUGUGGGCGCAGCAGCAAUCACUUACAGAUCAAAGGACAGUAAGUCCAGAUCUUAAAAUCCUUUAAGGAUUUUGAACACCAGAGGCCUGUUGCAAUUCCAAUUUUGGGGUAAAUGCCAAUCAUCCUUCCCUCUUGAACUUUCUCAUCUUUGCUUCCUUUUCCAUUAAUGACAGCAAACGUCAUACACAGUUCCUAUGGUCCACCCUAGGAAGCAGUGGCAGUGAUUCUUAUGCACGACUUUGUAUUGAUCUUGAGGGUGUUGGUUGUGUUAUGGAAGAGAGGUUAUUAAUUAUUGUCUUAACUGACAGUUCUUCCUUGCUAGGAUCUCUUCAAACCAAGCCUGUGACAGGUCACAUUCCCAUGUGCCCAGGGUAUCUGAAGGAAGUUGUCAAUUUUGGGAAGCAUUUGGGUCAGCUAAGCUGACCCCUAAAGGUGGACCCGUCUCCUUGGGGAGUGUGUUGCAGGCAGACGUAAAGAAAUCUUGCAACAGGUCAAAGCAGCAGCCUGCCAGGAAAGCAACUGUGACUUGGGAAUAGAGAAACUAUCUCUGCCUGCAGAUGCUGCUGCAUGUUCCUGCUGAAGUUUUCCACGCUGCUGAUCUCCCUCCACCUGCUCUGGGUUAUCUCCUGCAUGCUUUUGUCCAGGUAGCCGGAAGUGCAGACUGCUGGGCUGCUGCUCGCAGGAGGAAUCCCUCCAACUUCAGCAAAGCUGCCCUGCUAGGGAUGGAUGGUUCUCCAAGGGGAAGGAAGGGUCCCAGGCAGGGUACAAGAUGUCUGCGUGGAGGAGUCUCAGUAGGCAGCGCUGCUAUUUAUACAGCAUCCCAGCUACAGGAAGCGCUGCAUGGAUGUGCUUGGCGGGGUGAAGAGCUUGUGAUCCCGGGGAGAGACGUUUUAGGGUGCCAGACGCUGUGUUCUGCUUUGUACAGGAGGAAGAGGCUGUGGGAUGCUUGCUUAAUUCUGCGCUGAGGUGGAGCAGAGAAAGCUCGAGGGAUGCUGAUAGCGCUGCACUCGCCAGCCAAAUUUUCAGAAGAGCCCAGUUUGCUGACAUAAAUGGGGUUGCUGAUGUGCCGAAAGAGAAGGAAGUGCUGGAGAACACAUUCCUCACUGGGUGCAUGAAGAACUCAGAAAAUUGGAAGGAAGAUACAGAGAAUAUAGAAGCUGACCCAACUGGAAAUUUUUUGGGGAAAAAGAAUGGAAGACGUGCAGCAUCUCACCUUGCAGCAGUGGCCCGCAAGCUGCCCAGCCCCUCUGAGUGAUUCAAGGUGCGAUUCCCUGGGGAUCACGCUGCUAUCCACAGCAUCAGAGAUACCCGCAGGAGCCAGCUCUUUUUUCUUCAACUCUGAAAUUAGCCUUCAGGAUUGUGUGUGGGGUGGUGACCCAGCGUGGCUCAGGACCAGCUGCCUCCGAUAGACAUGUGUCUUCAGCACUGUGUUGUCUGCGAGGGAGAAAAGCUGAAAGAAGAAAAAAAGCAAAGUUUGCUUGCCUCGGAAUGACCCACCUCCCUGCUGAGCAAGAAAAAAACCCAACUCUGAAGUAGGUGGUGUGCUCUGUGCCCCCAUGGUCUGCUCCCGGCCAGUAGAUUCAUGAGUUGGACAGGAUGUCAUCCACGGAGCUCUGCGAGAUGGGAGAUGGCUCCGGAGGGUGCAAAAUGCAAGUUCAGGGGCAAAGGAAAUCAGGGAAAUGGAAACUUCUGCUGCAAGGCUUGGCUUGUCGCAGCGAAGACUGGAGCCUUAAUUGGGGGAACUGCUGUGUUUGUUUCCCCUCCUCCCCCUGCAACAUUGAUCCCCAGCAGUGCGAGGAUUAGCAAGUGGCCAAAUGCAUCGGGAGGUGACCUUGCUCUGCCGUAAGCACUGGGCUGCCACGGGGAAGCAGGCAGCAUCCCCAUGGACCAGACAGUUUUACAACGUCAGAAGAAUGGAAAAGCUGCAAGGCAUGCAUGCUCAAGACGCUGUGCUCCUGGAAAGCUUUGGAUGGGCUCCAGGCAACAUUUGGUGACAAAGAAAGAUGAAGGUCUCGAGGGGAAAAAAAAAAAAUCAAGUCUUCAUCCUACAACCUUCCUGUUCCUGCGAGCUGGGAAUGUUGUCGAAGGACAGGAAAUGUGCGUUCUUGCAGUCGUGUCUUGCAUGGGGUUCAGCAGCAAGCCACCUGCUUGUGAAUUUACCUCCUCCAGCAGAUGCUCGUGUUCCUCCCCAUGGAUGGAGGAGCCAGGACAAGGAGAAGCAACAGCCCCUGUGGCACAUAUGGGACUCCCGUGUGUGAAUAAGGACCACUCAGGGACCCCCCCAUGUAUCUUCUUGGCCAAGGCUUUGGUUUUGGGAUGUGCAGUGGCUUCUUGGCCGUCAGCAGGUAUUUCUCUGCAUGGUGGGCUUUGCUGGGGCAAAUAAAAAAAAAAAAAAAAGAGGGGGAGAACAGAGGUGGGU